UACGGGGGGGGCAAGCGUUGUUCGGAAUUACUGGGCGUAAAGGGCUCGUAGGUGGCCAACUAAGUCAGACGUGAAAUCCCUCGGCUUAACCGGGGAACUGCGUCUGAUACUGGAUGGCUUGAGUUUGGUAGAGGGACGCGGAAUUCCAGGUGUAGCGGUGAAAUGCGUAGAUAUCUGGAGGAACACCGGUGGCGAAGGCGGCGUCCUGGACCACCACUGACACUGAUGAGCGAAAGCCAGGGGAGCAAACGGG
rnacentral:rRNA from 1 species